CAAUAGCGUAUAUUAAAGUUGUUGCAGUUAAAAAGCUCGUAGUUGGAUUUCUGGUAGGAGCGACCGUGCCGAACUUGAUUGUUCGAGUAUUGUGUUGUCUUCAGCCAUCCUCGUGGAGAACUUUUCUAACAUUAACUUGUUGGGAUUGGGACCCGCGUCGUUUACUGUGAAAAAAUUAGAGUGUUUAAAGCAGGCAUUAGCUUGAAUACAUUAGCAUGGAAUAAUAAGAUAGGACUUUGGUACUAUUUUGUUGGUUUGCAUACCAAAUUAAUGAUCAACAGGAACAGUUUGAGGAUAUUCGUAUGAACAUGUCAGAGGUGAAAUUCCUGGAUUUUGAUCAGACGAACUACUGCGAAAGCAUUUAUCAAGGAUGUUUUCAUUAA
rnacentral:rRNA from 1 species